rnacentral:rRNA from 1 species
UAGGGAAUCUUCGGCAAUGGACGCAAGCCUGACCGAGCAACGCCGCGUGAGUGAAGAAGGUCUUCGGAUUGUAAAACUCUGUUGUUAGAGAAGAACAAGGACGCUCGUAUAUGAACGUCCACUGACGGUAUCUAACGAGAAAGCCACGGCUAACUACGUGCCAGCAGCCGCGGUAAUACGUAGGUUGCCAGCGUUGUCCGGAAUUAUUGGGCGUAAAGCGUGCGCAGGCGGUUUUAUAAGACUGAUGUGAAAGCCCCCGGCUGAACCGGGGAGGUUCAUUUGAAACUGGGAGACUUGAGUGCAGAAGAGGAGAGUGGAAUUCCAUGUGUAGCAGUGAAAUGCGUAGAGAUGUGGAGGAACACCGGUGGCGAAGGCAGCUCUCUGGGCAGUAACUGACGCUGAGGCACGAAAGCGUGGGGAGCAAACAGG